rnacentral:rRNA from 1 species
UAUUGCACAAUGGGGGGAAACCCUGAUGCAGCCAUGCCGCGUGUGUGAAGAAGGCCUUCGGGGUUGUAAAGCACUUUCAGUAGGGAGGAAGGUAGUGUAGUUAACACCUGCAUUAUUUGACGUUACCUACAGAAGAAGCACCGGCUAACUCCGUGCCAGCAGCCGCGGUAAUACGGAGGGGUGCGAGCGUUAAUCGGAAUUACUGGGCGUAAAGCGCAUGCAGGCGGCCUGUUAAGUCAGAUGUGAAAGCCCGGGGCUUAACCUCGGAAUUGCAUUUGAAACUGGCAGGCUAGAGUCUUGUAGAGGGGGGUAGGAAUUUCAGGUGUAGCGGUGAAAUGCGUAGAGAUCUGAAGGAAUACCAGUGGCGAAGGCGGCCCCCUGGACAAAGACUGACGCUCAGAUGCGAAAGCGUGGGGAGCAAACAGGAUUAGAUACCCUGGUAG